GAUGUAGCUCAACAGUAGAGAAUCUGCUUUGAAUGCAGAAGGUCCCAGGUUCAAUCCCAGCCAGAGCCA